rnacentral:rRNA from 1 species
UAACACGUGGGUAACCUGCCCAAGAGACUGGGAUAACACCUGGAAACAGAUGCUAAUACCGGAUAACAACACUAGACGCAUGUCUAGAGUUUGAAAGAUGGUUCUGCUAUCACUCUUGGAUGGACCUGCGGUGCAUUAGCUAGUUGGUAAGGUAACGGCUUACCAAGGCAAUGAUGCAUAGCCGAGUUGAGAGACUGAUCGGCCACAUUGGGACUGAGACACGGCCCAAACUCCUACGGGAGGCAGCAGUAGGGAAUCUUCCACAAUGGACGAAAGUCUGAUGGAGCAACGCCGCGUGAGUGAAGAAGGGUUUCGGCUCGUAAAGCUCUGUUGGUAGUGAAGAAAGAUAGAGGUAGUAACUGGCCUUUAUUUGACGGUAAUUACUUAGAAAGUCACGGCUAACUACGUGCCAGCAGCCGCGGUAAUACGUAGGUGGCAAGCGUUGUCCGGAUUUAUUGGGCGUAAAGCGAGUGCAGGCGGUUCAAUAAGUCUGAUGUGAAAGCCUUCGGCUCAACCGGAGAAUUGCAUCAGAAACUGUUGAACUUGAGUGCAGAAGAGGAGAGUGGAACUCCAUGUGUAGCGGUGGAAUGCGUAGAUAUAUGGAAGAACACCAGUGGCGAAGGCGGCUCUCUGGUCUGCAACUGACGCUGAGGCUCGAAAGCAUGGGUAGCGAACAGGAUUAGAUACCCUGGUAGU